AUUGAACGCUGGCGGCAUGCCUUACACAUGCAAGUCGAACGGCAGCACGGGAGCAAUCCUGGUGGCGAGUGGCGAACGGGUGAGUAAAGUAUCGGAACGUGCCCAGUCGUGGGGGAUAACGUAGCGAAAGUUACGCUAAUACCGCAUACGAUCUAUGGAUGAAAGCGGGGGAUCGCAAGACCUCGCGCGAUUGGAGCGGCCGAUAUCAGAUUAGGUAGUUGGUGGGGUAAAGGCUCACCAAGGCGACGAUCUGUAGCUGGUCUGAGAGGACGACCAGCCACACUGUGACUGAGACACGGCCCAGACUCCUACGGGAGGCAGCAGUGGGGAAUUUUGGACAAUGGGCGAAAGCCUGAUCCAGCCAUGCCGCGUGCAGGAUGAAGGCCUUCGGGUUGUAAACUGCUUUUGUACGGAACGAAAAGACUCUGGUUAAUACCUGGGGUCCAUGACGGUACCGUAAGAAUAAGUACCGGCUAACUACGUGCCAGCAGCCGCCGUAA
rnacentral:rRNA from 1 species